GAUGAACGCUGGCGGCGUGCCUAAUACAUGCAAGUCGAGCGGAAGGACGAGAAGCUUGUUUCUCUGAUGUUAGCGGCGGACGGGUAAGUAACGAGUAGAUAACCAACGAAUUAGACUCAGAUAACUUAGAGACCCCGGAGAUAGUACCGGAUAAUAUUUUGAACCGCAUGGUUCAAACGUGGAUGGCGGACUUGCUGCCAGUGGUAGAUGGUUCCGCGCUGGAUUAGCUGGUUGUUGAGGUAACGGCUUACUACGACAACGAUGACUAGCCGACCUGAGGGUGUGAGCGUGCACACUGGAACUGAGACACGGUCCAGGCUCCUACGGGAGGCAGCAGUAGGGGUUCGUCCGCUUGGGGCGAAGGCCUAACGGUGCAACGGCGCGUGAGUGAUGAAGAUCUUCGGAUCGUAAUUCUCUGUUACUAGGGAACAACAUAUGUCUAAGUAACUGUGCGCGUCGUGACGGUACUGAAACAGAAAGCCCCGGCUAACUACGUG
rnacentral:rRNA from 1 species